rnacentral:rRNA from 1 species
GUUUGAUCCUGGCUCAGAUUGAACGCUGGCGGCAUGCCUUACACAUGCAAGUCGAACGGCAGCACGGGGGGCGACCCCUGGUGGCGAGUGGCGAACGGGUGAGUAAUGCAUCGGAACGUGCCCGGUAGUGGGGGAUAACCCCGAGAAAUCGGGGCUAAUACCGCAUGAGCCCGGGAGGGGAAAGCGGGGGACCUGAUGAGGGCCUCGCGCUAUCGGAGCGGCCGAUGUCCGAUUAGCUGGUUGGUGGGGUAAAGGCCCACCAAGGCGACGAUCGGUAGCGGGUCUGAGAGGACGGCCCGCCACACUGGGACUGAGACACGGCCCAGACUCCUACGGGAGGCAGCAGUGGGGAAUUUUGGACAAUGGGCGAAAGCCUGAUCCAGCCAUGCCGCGUGCGGGAAGAAGGCCUUCGGGUUGUAAACCGCUUUCGGCCGGGACGAAAUCGCCCGCAUGAACAGUGUGGGUGGAUGACGGUACUGGCAGAAGAAGCACCGGCUAACUACGUGCCAGCAGCCGCGGUAAUACGUAGGGUGCGAGCGUUAAUCGGAAUUACUGGGCGUAAAGCGUGCGCAGGCGGCCCUUUAAGUCAGGUGUGAAAGCCCCGGGCUUAACCUGGGAAUGGCGCUUGAAACUGGAGGGCUUGGAGUGCGGCAGAGGGGGGUGGAAUUCCUGGUGUAGCGGUGAAAUGCGUAGAGAUCAGGAGGAACACCGAUGGCGAAGGCAGCCCCCUGGGC